UCGCACUGUUCGUAACCUCUUGACAGCAUAUUUCUGUGAAUAGGUUCCAUUCCAGUGCUACAUAAAAUCCAAUUAAUGGAAGGCUGACAAAUUCCAUGUCCCUUCUGCAUUUGGAGACAAAA
rnacentral:snoRNA from 1 species